CCCUUUUUAGGGGGGCUUCAGCCCCCCUAAACUUCUGCCCAGCCCCCCUAAAAAAAUAUUUGAUUAAUAAAUUUUUGAUCGCUUCAGUCCCCUUUAAAAAAACUAAUUUGAAACGGCGGCAAGCUGCGUCAAGUUUCGGCUCCUCCCCUUAUCUGAGUCUGCUUGGAUUUAGCGCAUUUUUCAAUCUGCAGGGGAGCCGAGCAGAGCGAACAUCAGAGAGCACAAGAUGGAUAUACGACAUUUUUUCUUGUCGUGCGGGAGUAGGUCUGCAAAUGAGCAACAGUCAGUGUUGUAUAUGGCUCAGUCAGUACUCCUACUCCCAUAUAUGAAAUACAGGGAAUACAAUGGAAUAGUGGAUUGCAGUAAGGUUAGUAGCAUACCACCCUACCCUAAUAGUCAAAUAAUAUUUUUUUAAUCAUACCCUUAUUGGGGGCUGAGCCCCCCUAAAAUCAAAAUCCUAGAAUCGCU